GAGGACACUGUGCUGGAGCAGGUCUGCUGUCAGGAGUUGUGAUCCCACAGGGGACUCAGGCUGGAGGGAUUCCUGAAGGACUGCGGUGCUGAGAAUGGGAGUGACAGAAUGGCUUUUGUGGGCACCUGAUAUACAGACAGGGUUAACCUGGCAAAGUUAAACAAGGCAUUUUCAUCUUCAAAAUUUCUGUUUGUUCCAGGAAAUCUAUGAUUUCCAAACCCAUGGAGGUGUUUGAGUCCACAAGACUGCAAGCAGGUCCACAGCUUCAGUAUCUGGUUUUGGACAUAAAGGUACCGAUGGUUCAUCUGAGCCUGCCGAGAGCAGGGAGGGGCUUACUUCAUGCCUCUUAGAUUUGUGGCAGAGUAGUAAAAAAUGCCAUGAAAUCGUGUCUCUGAAUUUGGAUGAACUCGAUGGCAAAGAGAAAGCUGAAGAAAAUGAUCUGAGAGUUUUUUGUGGUGGAAGAGGAUUUGAUACUUGUACAUACCUUAACUGUGUCUAUCUGAACUGCGCCAUUGUAAGAUAACCUUGAAGGCAGCUGCACAUGUAUCUAACCCCUGUCUUUCAGAACACUUUAAUCUUGCACCCUGACAAAUAUUGCCACAGUGAGUACUGUAUAGAUAAGAUGUGAGCUAAAGCCUACCAAAGUUUGCCAAACCCUUUUCUACCUAUGAAAUCCUAAAUAAGCUUAGUAUAGAAAAGUGGUUUAAGGUAUCUUUGUUUCAUCCUGUGAGCAGCUUGCAAGGCUUAAAUGACAGUAUUUUACCUUUUGAAAAGAUAUUCACCCCCAAAAUUAUUCA